rnacentral:rRNA from 1 species
UGGGGAAUAUUGGGCAAUGGGCGAAAGCCUGACCCAGCAACGCCGCGUGAACGAAGAAGGUCUUCGGAUUGUAAAGUUCUGUCCUAUGGGACGAAGAAAGUGACGGUACCAUAGGAGGAAGCCCCGGCUAACUACGUGCCAGCAGCCGCGGUAAUACGUAGGGGGCAAGCGUUGUCCGGAAUUACUGGGCGUAAAGGGUGCGUAGGCGGCGCCUUAAGUCAGAUGUGAAAUAUCCAUGCUUAACGUGGAGGGUGCAUCUGAUACUGGGGCACUUGAGUGCAGGAGAGGAAAGUGGAAUUCCUAGUGUAGCGGUGAAAUGCGUAGAUAUUAGGAGGAACACCAGUGGCGAAGGCGACUUUCUGGACUGUAACUGACGCUGAGGCACGAAAGCGUGGGGAGCAAACA